rnacentral:rRNA from 1 species
UACGUAAGGUGCAAGCGUUGUCCGGAAUUAUUGGGCGUAAAGAGCUCGUAGGCGGUCUGUCGCGUCGGCUGUGAAAACCCGGAGCUCAACUCCGGGCCUGCAGUCGAUACGGGCAAACUGGAGUGUUGCAGGGGAGACUGGAAUUCCUGGUGUAGCGGUGAAAUGCGCAGAUAUCAGGAGGAACACCGGUGGCGAAGGCGGGUCUCUGGGCAACAACUGACGCUGAGGAGCGAAAGCGUGGGGAGCGAACAGG